ACUGCUCAGUAACACGUGGACAACCUGCCCUUAGGACGGGGAUAAACCCGGGAAACCGGGUAUAAUACCCGAUAGGUCUCGAUUGCUGGAAUGCAUCGAGAUUUAAAGCUCCGGCGCCUAAGGAUGGGUCUGCGGCCUAUCAGGUAGUAGUGGGUGUAGCGUACCUACUAGCCUACGACGGGUACGGGUUGUGAGAGCAAGAGCCCGGAGAUGGAUUCUGAGACACGAAUCCAGGCCCUACGGGGUGCAGCAGGCGCGAAAACUUUACAAUGCUGGCAACAGCGAUAAGGGAACCUCGAGUGCCAGGUUACAAAUCUGGCUGUCGAGAUGCCUAAAAAGCAUUUCAUAGCAAGGGCCGGGCAAGACCGGUGCCAGCCGCCGCGGUAACACCGGCGGCUCGAGUGGUAACCGUUAUUAUUGGGUCUAAAGGGUCUGUAGCCGGCCGGAUAAGUCUCUUGAGAAAUCUGGCAGCUUAACUGUCAGGCUUUCAGGAGAUACUGUCUGGCUCGAGGCCGGGAGAGGUGAGAGGUACUUCAGGGGUAGGGGUGAAAUCUUGUAAUCCUUGAAGGACCACCAGUGGCGAAGGCGUCUCACCAGAACGGACCUGACGGCAAGGGACGAAAGCUAGGGGCACGAACCGGAUUAGAUACCCGGGUAGUCCUAGCCGUAAACGAUACUCGCUAGGUGUCGGCCACGGUGCGACCGUUGUCGGUGCCGUAGGGAAGCCGUGAAGCGAGCCACCUGGGAAGUACGGCCGCAAGGCUGAAACUUAAAGGAAUUGGCGGGGGAGCAC
rnacentral:rRNA from 1 species